rnacentral:misc_RNA from 1 species
AGAGGCUAAUGCAACAUCGUCUCGGUUUGUAAUUAUCCUUUUUCAAUCAUGUGUUUGUUCUCAAAUUAACGCUCUGAUUCCAUUGCAUAUGAACAUUAAAGCCUUUUAACGAGUAUAUUCUAUUAAGAUACAUCAUCAUCAAAUGUUUGGUAUUCCAACCUCUUAUUUCUUUGUAACUGUAUUAUAAAGAGUAAUCAUUAAAAGGGACUAAGGUUUUCAAUUUAAUGAUUGAAAAUCAGAAAAAUGCGUCAUUACAUUGUGAGAGGAAAAGUUGCUCAACAGCUGUAUUGGAAACUUAUUUUACAUUAGCCUUUUCUUUGUUUUCUUUGCCAUGUAAUGAAAUUAUAUCUCAUUUAACCAGAUCGCAUGCUGUUUUAGAGAUAA